AUUAAAGUUGCUGCGGUUAAAAAGCUCGUAGUUGGAUUACGAAGUGGUGUUUAAAUGUCAUUUUGGUUUGUUUGUCUUUCGGGGCAUUCAGGUCAACUUGGCUUUUACUCACUGUUGUCAUUGUCUUUGCCCAAGGUAUAUGCCUUGUGUGCAUGGCAUUGACCUUCUAUUUUAUGGUAAUGUUGUAUCUUUCGGGGUACAUUCAUUCCAUAUAGUUUACUUUGAAAAAAUUAGGGUGUUUAAAGCAGGCGAAAAGGCUUCGGAAUAUAUUAGCAUGGGAUAAUAGAAUACGAUCUAGGUCGUAAUUUGUUGGUUUCUACGGCUUAGGUAAUGAUUGACAGGGAUAGUUGGGGUCGCUCGUAUUGAGUUGUCAGAGGUGAAAUUCUAGGAUUAACUCAAGACGAACUAAUGCGAAAGCAUUCGGCAAGGAUGUUUUCAUUAAUCAAGAACGAAAGUUGGGGGAUCGAAGAUGAUCAGAUACCGUCGUAGUCUCAACUGUAAACUAUGUCGACCGAGGAUCCGGUAGCGUUACAUGGAUGACCUUCCGGGCACUCUGUGAGAAAUCAUAAGUAUUUGGAUUUCGGGGGGAGUAUGGUCGCAAGGCUGAAACUUAAAGGGAUUGACGGAAGGGCACCACCAGGAGUGGAAUCUGCGGCUUAAUCUGACCCAACACGGGAAAACUUACCAGGUCCGGACACAGUGAGGAUUGACAGAUUGAGAGCUCUUUCUUGAUUUUGUGGGUGGUGGUGCAUGGCCGUUUUUAGUUGGUGGAGUGAUUUGUCUGGUUAAUUCCGUUAACGAACGAGACCUUAACCUAUUAAAUAGCUGCGCGAACCCAGGUUCUUUAACCAUUCUCUCCUUCGGGGGGGCGUGGUAUCAUUAUUUUGCUUUUCACUUUCGGGUGGGAGGUAGGGUAGUGAUAGGGCCUGAGAUGAGUUGGUGAUUUGGCUUCUUAGAGGGACUACUUGCAUCCUUAGCAAGGGGAGGUUUGAGGCAAAAACAGGUCUGUGAUGCCCUUCGAUGUUCUGGGCUGCACGCGCGUUACACUGGCGCAUGCAAAGAGUUUAAAAUUCCUGUCCCGAUGGGGUUGGGAAAUCUUUUUAAAGUGCGUCGUGAUGGGGAUAGAGCAUUGAAAUUAUUGCUCUUGAACGAGGAAUUCCUAGUAAUUGCAGGUCAUCAACCUGCAAUGAUUACGUCCCUGCCCUUUGUACACACCGCCCGUCGCUCCUACCGAUGGUUGAACCGAUGAGGACUCGGGAUGAUCUUAUUAGAUCGGUCGGUCGAAAGAUCGAUAGACUAUUAGGUCAGAACUUGUUCAAAUCUUUUUAA
rnacentral:rRNA from 1 species